UACGUAGGGUGCGAGCGUUGUCCGGAAUUAUUGGGCGUAAAGAGCUCGUAGGCGGUGUGUCACGUCGUUCGUGAAAACCUGCAGCUUAACUGUGGGCGCGCGGUCGAUACGGGCAUCACUGGAGUUCGGCAGGGGAGACUGGAAUUCCUGGUGUAGCGGUGAAAUGCGCAGAUAUCAGGAGGAACACCGGUGGCGAAGGCGGGUCUCUGGGCCGAUACUGACGCUGAGGAGCGAAAGCGUGGGGAGCGAACAGG
rnacentral:rRNA from 1 species